UUUUUUUUUUGAAACGGGAUUUUAUUGUAUUUACAAAUCAAUUUUCUUAUUUAAUAAAAAAAAACAUUUUAAUUUCCUUUGUGAACUUGUUGUCAUUCUUAGUCCUCACCACCUCAUGAUCAAUCCUCGCCACUUCAGGCUUAUUCAGAUUAUUUAGGUUAUUGAUUAUUUUGACUAGCUUUGGCUCUCCAUCCAUGGGAAGCUCCUCAUUUCCAACCAGUAACAGUAAUGUCGUUCAUUGAGAAGUUGGGAGUUAAAGAGGACCCCUUUCAAGAUUCUUUCUUCAUCUACAGUUGCUUAUUUGGUAUGAUAUGAAGCUAGUGCUUGUGGGCUGGAUUGGCUCUUCCCCAAUCCAGGAAGUAUAAUAACAAUCACUUGUUUAAAAGAAGGAACAAGUUUAUGGAUAUUGCAUACAAGAAAAGCAUAGAAGAAUUACGCUUCAAAAUCGUAGAAGUUGCAAAGAGCUCCAACAUGAAAAAGUCUUACAACAUAGGAUUCAAGGAAAACUAUGGAACUGAAGAUUUCAAUUGAGAUUGAACAUAAAGGGUUUGGAGGUGGAUUCAAUUCAUAGGAGCUUUAGAAGCCAAGUUACUUGCAGUUAGGUUAUCUCUUGAGACAGCUCUUUCAAAAGAUAGGAUAAACAAGUGACAAUUAAAUCUGGCUCCAUAGUAGUAAUUAAGGCUUUUGAAACGAAAUCCCUUCUAAAGGUUUGGGGCUCAUGAUCUAUUUUGUAUUUUUAUUAUGCCCACCUAAGUUUAUUUCUUUAUUUCUUGUAGUGAUAAUGUAUUGCUUGCUUCUCUUGCUGUGUGGGCAAGACUAUCUAAUGUCAAUAGUCAAGAAUUUGGUCUACCACUUUUAGCAUUUUUGCUAUCAAAAUAUCAUGAGACUUAUUUAGCAUACAGAAACAAAAAUAAA